UUACCUUCUAGUUUUAAUUUGUUUUACAGAUUGUUACACGUGAUUUUAUGCUCUUUUAAACGUUUAUAAAUGUGCUGCUUCUUUGUUUUUUAUAGAGCUCACAGCCUCAGUGUCUUGUGACACAGGGACCAUGACAGAAAUUCAUCUUCCAGAAGGUCCCAGAGCAGCAUCCACACCUCCUGAAAAGACCAAGAUGUAAGGUGUCUGCUGUUGAUUCCAGCUUCCACCUCAGUGACAGUGCAAGCUCAGUGAACUGUUCAAGGUAAAAAAAAUUAAAACAUUUCUGAAUUUUUAAGAUAUUAACAAUUAAAUAAGUAUGUGAUUACAUCAUGAAGGAGGCUACUGAUUCUGGCCCUGUGACACUUGGUGGUGACGUGUGAGCUGAUUCACCUGGACACUCAGCAAAAUAUGGACUCUACACCAUGAGGCAGGCACACGUUAAUAACUCUAUAAGAGCACAUAAGCAUGAGGAUGUCCUCACACACCUGUCAUCUGGUUAUGACAGCAUGAGGAUGUCCUCACACACCUGUAACCUAUCAGCUCAUCUGGCAGAAUAGAGAGAGAAGAGACAACACCACAUCUCCUGUUCCUGGAAAGCCUUCAGCCAUCCUUCGAUGACUGAGAACCUCCAUCAGCUCUGUCUCCUGUCUGCCCACAAUUAUUAUAAUAAAUAUUGUGUUUGACAAGUUU